GUGUGGGUCCUGUACGGCAGAGCACCACGAACCAUGUCAGGCGGGGAACCGAGCAGCAUUAAGAGGAAAGCCUGGGCGAUACAGUCCGCCUGUGCGCC
rnacentral:SRP_RNA from 1 species